rnacentral:rRNA from 1 species
AGAGUUUGAUCCUGGCUCAGAACGAACGCUGGCGGCGUGGAUUAGGCAUGCAAGUCGAACGAUCCCGCAAGGGAUAGUGGCGAAAGGGUGCGUAACACGUGGGCAAUCUGCCCCCGAAACGGGAAUAACUUCGGGAAACCGAAGCUAAUACCUGAUGACACCGAGCUGCCGCAUGGUGGCACGGUGAAAGGCGUCCGCAAGGGUGCCGAUCGGGGAUGAGCCCGCGGCCUAUCAGCUAGUUGGUGAGGUAACGGCCCACCAAGGCGAUGACGGGUAGCCGGCCUGAGAGGGUGGUCGGCCACAUUGGGACUGAGACACUGCCCAGACUCCUACGGGAGGCUGCAGUCGAGGAUCUUCCGCAAUGGGGGAAACCCUGACGGAGCGACGCCGCGUGGAGGAUGAAGGCCUUCGGGUCGUAAACUCCUGUCAGUCUGGAAGAAAAUCUGCAGCAAUGUGGAUUGACCGUACAGGCAGAGGAAGCUCCGGCUAACUCCGUGCCAGCAGCCGCGGUAAUACGGAGGGAGCGAGCGUUGUUCGGAAUCAUUGGGCGUAAAGGGCAUGUAGGCGGCUCUGUAAGUCGGGUGUGAAAUCCCAUCUCUCAAGGGUGGAACGGCAUUCGAAACUGCAGGGCUUGAGUUCGGGGGAAGAGAGCGGAAUUCUCGGUGUAGCGGUGAUAUGCGUAGAUAUCGAGAAGAACACCAGCGGCGUAAGCGGCUCUCUAUCCUGAAACUGACGCUGAGGUGCGAAAGCCAGGGGAGCGAACGGGAUUAGAUACCCCGGUAGUCCUGGCCAUAAACGAUGUGCACUUGGUGUUGGGCCGCGAGGCUCAGUGCCGAAGCUAACGCAUUAAGUGCACCGCCUGGGGAGUACGACCGCAAGGUUGAAACUCAAAGGAAUUGACGGGGGCCCGCA